GCACUCACGAGGCUGGCUGUGGCAAGUGUAAGUGAAAGCAACACGCACUGGCAGGAAGAACAGCAAACGCCGAUGAAGGAAAAGGGUCUUUGCAGUGAUGGGCGUUACCAGAGAGGGCGAUGGCCAGAGGACAUAAAUGGGACGGGGAGGCAGCACGUUGGGGGGGGGGACGCGACACGGCUCGGGCCCGCCAGUGCCCCAACGGGGUCCUAGUUCUUUGUUUCUUUUUUCUUUUUCCUCCCCUUUGAACUGGAAAAUGGCCCACUUCCCACUGGCGAAAACUCAGGAAAUUUGGCAGGACGACCGGGCCUGGUGAAAAAUUCGAUAUUCUGAAGUCGCCCAAACAAUAAAAUGCAAAAUGGCUCCAUAGCGCCCCCUAAGGUGAAAAUUCACAUGACGGCUGUACGCUUUGUCAUAUUGACACAAAAAUUGACACACAUAUGUAUCUCAAUAAGAUCUACAAAAAAGUCAGUGCGGGCGUAUUUGUCAAAUGUACGGUUAAAGGGUUAUUUCGCAUUUUUUGCCGAUCCGCACACAUUGGAAUUUCGCUAACUCCUCCGAAGGCUUUCGUUCCACCGGCACCACAUUUGCUCAGGCCAAUCUACACCCCAUGGCCAUUAAAAGUUAUUCAAAUCAUGACGCUGCACCCCACGGUUUAGGUUCUAGGGGGCGCCAAAAAUAACCCUAAAAUCCACAUAUUUAAAAGUCUUAUAACUUUUUAUUUUUGUCCUCACUGGCCUCCAAGUUUUCUAGGAUGAUGCAAUGUCCAGCCAUCAACACAUCUGUGAAGGAAUUUUUACUCGCCAAAAGAGCGCCCCCCCAUGGCAGGAGAAAAAAGUCCAUUUUUUCUUGUCCCCUAAGGUGAAAAUACACAUUGUUGAGUGUCACGCCUGUACGCUUUGGCAAAAUGACACAAAAAUUGACACACACAUGUAUCUCAAUAAGAUCUACAAAAAAGUCCAUGCGCGCGUAUCUGUCAAAUGUACGGUUAAAGGGUUAUUCCGCAUUUUUUGCCGAUACGCACACAUUGGAAUUUCGCUAACUCCUCCGAAGGCUUUCGUUCCACCGGCACCACAUUUGCUCAGGCCAAUCUACACCCCAUGGCCAUUAAAAGUUAUUCAAAUCAUGACGCUGCACCCCACGGUUUAGGUUCUAGGGGGCGCCAAAGAUAACCCUAAAAUCCACAUAUUUAAAAGUCUUAUAACUUUUUAUUUUUGUCCUCACUGGCCUCGAAGUUUUCUAGGAUGAUGCAAUGUCCAGCCAUCAACACAUUUGUGAAGGAAUUUUUACUCCCCAAAAGAGCGCCCCCCCAUGGCAGGAGAAAAAAGUCCAUUUUUUCUUGUCCCCUAAGGUGGAAAUUCACACUAUUGACUGUCACGCCUGUACGCUUUGUCAUAUUGACACAAAAAUUGACACACACAUGUAUCUCAAUAAGAUCUACAAAAAAGUCCAUGCGCGCGUAUCUGUCUAAUGUACGGUUAAAGGGUUAUUUGGCAUUUUUUGCCGAUUCGCACACAUUGGAAUGUGGCUAUCUCCUCCUAAGGCUUUCGUCCCACCGAUACCAAAUUUGCUCAGGGCAAUCUACACCCCAUGCCCAUUCAAAGUUGUAAAAAUCAUGGCGCUGCACCCUACGGUUUACGUUCUAGGGGGCGCCAAAGAUGACCCAAAAAUCCACAUUCUUAAAAGUCAUUUUGGCCACUGCAGGAGUACAGAGUACUGCAGUUCUAGGGGGCGCCAAAGAUGACCCAAAAAUCCACAUUCUUAAAAGUCUUUUUGGCCACUGCAGGAGUACAGAGUACUGCAGGAUACACACACAUAUACACACACGCCAACAUACACACACACACACACACACACACACACACACACACUCAGAGUCUGUUUUUUAGCACCUGCAAAAACAUGCUGUUUACAUAUUUGACAAGAAUGCAGAGGCUUCCUUUUGCCCCUGAAAAAAAUCAAAUUUCAAACACAACUUGACUGUUCAUUUCUCCAAAAGACAACCAUGAAGCUCCAUCCAAACCUGAAGCAGAUAGUUGGUGCAUGUGUACAGUAACCUGAGGGGAGUGAGGUGACUAUUUCUGAGGAGAACAUGAGCAGUGAAGAUUCACCUUGGAGCUAGAACAGGGACGUGCACAUGAUUAUACAGGGGCAGGGGCUCAAGUUUUCCAGUCAUUUAUACAAUAUGGAAAUUAAUGUGAAAUUAAACCACAAAUAUGUGUGAUGAACUGUUUUUAAAACUUAAACUUCAAAUAAAAAUUGUAAACUUCAAAACAUAUGCAAAUUUUUAACAAAGAACAUAGUAAUUUACCUCUAUUUUCAUCAAAAUGCAGGCAAUGGCCCAGGCGUUCUUUGUAAAAUUAUUUACAAAACACUGUAUAGUCUCACAAAUGUCACUUUUUAUUUAUGCCACUACAAAAAAACAUGAUGUAAAUGAUGCAUGAUGUAAAACAUGAUGUAAAAAACUUGUGUAGAUCCUCCUCUAUGUUAGUCCAUGUGUAAUUUUUCCAUAAUUCUUUGUUUUUUGCAGCAUUUUUGUUAGUGUAACUGCAGAUUGUGCUGACAGUGUCUAUGGCAAAAAAAAAAAAAAAACUGAAAAUGCCUCAACAUGAACCCCUGGUGGUCUCUGAGGGUGAAACCUGCUAACUGCUGCAGCUCUGUCAGCUUUAGUCUCCCAUGCAGAGCUCGGAGCGCAUGUGUGGCUCUGCACCCUUAGCAGCGUUGCUAACUCCUCAGUAAGGAAAGCCUGCUUCAUGUCAGAGUCUCUAAACUCCAGAAGAAGUCGAUAAAAGUCCCUUUCUUUCUAAAAAAAGUCGUUAGGGGGUCUGAAAAGUCAUUGAAUCUAACAACAAAGUCGCUAGGUUUGCAACUACGUGUCCCAGACUGCAUCCCUGCUGAGAGUCCCUCCCUCGCUUCUCAUGUUGCAGGAAGAACGUAAGCGCCCGCCCCUUGUCAAUCAGUCACCAUAUAAUUUUGGAUUGGUUGUUGUGGUGAAGUUUUCCACCAAUAGGAGAGAUGUUGUGGUGUGUUUUUUUUUUCUUUUGGCAAGCCUUUUCCGCCUGUAAGAGCUGUCGCUAAUGUCUGCAUGCUAUGUUUUCCUGUCUCAUACAGCGCGAUCGAGCGCCGAACGUGAUCAAAAUAAGCAGAAAAAAAGUAUCGCGGACAUAAUUUAUCAUAACUCUGGUUUUAUUUGGCCUAUCAACACAAUUUAAAAACUGGUAUAUAGGUUGAGGUCCUCACUUUUGAGAUAAGUUGAAACGGAGAGUCAACGAGGCUCCGUCUUGCAGCUACAUCCGGUUAAAUAUGUCAUGUGACUUGAACGCACACACAGACACACACACACGCACACGCACACACACACACACACACACACUCACUCAGAGUCUGGUUUUAAGCACCUGCAAAAACAUGCUAUUUACAUAUUUGACAAGAAUGCAGAGGCUCCUUUUGCCCCUGAAAAAAAUCAAAUUUCAAACACAACUUGACUGCUCAUUUCUCCAAAAGACAACCAUGAAGCUCCAUCCAAACCUGAAGCAGGCAGUUGGUGCAUGUGUACAGUAACCUGAGGGGAGUGAGGUGAGUGCUUCUGAGGAGAACAUGAGCAGUGAAGAUUCACCUUGGAGCUAGAACAGAGACAUGCACAUGAUUAUACAGGGGCAGGGGCUCAAGUUUUUUCCAGUCGUUUAUACAAUAUGGAAAUUAAUGUGAAAUUAAAACACAAAGUAUUAAUAGAAAGGUAAUGACUGUCCUGUGUAGGUGACAGUGAUAUCCAAUAGGCUAGGCACUCACGAGGCUGGCUGUGGCAAGUGUAAGUGAAAGCAACACGCACUGGCAGGAAGAACAGCAAACGCCGAUGAAGGAAAAGGGUCUUUGCAGUGAUGGGCGUUACCAGAGAGGGCGAUGGCCAGAGGACACAAAUGGGACGGGGAGGCAGCACGUUGGGGGGGGGACGCGACGCGGCUCGGGCCCGCCAGUGCCCCAACGGGGUCCUAGUCUUUGUUUCUUUUUUCUUUUUCCUCCCCUUUGAACUGGAAAAUGGCCCACUUCCCACUGGCGAAAACUCAUGAAAUUUGGCAGGACGACCGGGCCUGGUGAAAAAUUUGAUAUUCCGAAGUCGCCCAAACAAUAAAAUGCAAAAUGGCUCCAUAGCGCCCCCUAAGGUGAAAAUACACAUGACGGCUGUACGCUUUGUCAUAUUGACACAAAAAUUGACACACACAUGUAUCUCAAUAAGAUCUACAAAAAAGUCAGUGCGGGCGUAUCUGUCAAAUGUACGGUUAAUGGGUUAUUUUGCAUUUUUUGCAGAUCUGCACACAUUGGAAUUUCGCUAACUCCUCCGAAGGCUUUCGUUCCACCGGCACCACAUUUGCUCAGGCCAAUCUACACCCCAUGGCCAUUAAAAGUUAUUCAAAUCAUGACGCUGCACCCCACGGUUUAGGUUCUAGGGGGCGCCAAAAAUAACCCUAAAAUCCACAUAUUUAAAAGUCUUAUAACUUUUUAUUUUUGUCCUCCCUGGCCUCCAAGUUUUCUAGGAUGAUGCAAUGUCCAGCCAUCAACACAUCUGUGAAGGAAUUUUUACUCCCCAAAAGAGCGCCCCCCAUGGCAGGAGAAAAAAGUCCAUUUUUUCUUGACCCCUAAGGUGAAAAUACACAUUGUUGAGUGUCACGCCUUUACGCUUUGGCAAAAUGACACAAAAAUUGACACACACAUGUAUCUCAAUAAGAUCUACAAAAAAGUCUAUGAGCGCGUAUCUGUCAAAUGUACGGUUAAAGGGUUAUUCCGCAUUUUUUGCCGAUACGCACACAUUGGAAUUUCGCUAACUCCUCCGAAGGCUUUCGUUCCACCGGCACCACAUUUGCUCAGGCCAAUCUACACCCCAUGGCCAUUAAAAGUUAUUCAAAUCAUGACGCUGCACCCCACGAUUUAGGUUCUAGGGGGCGCCAAAAAUAACCCUAAAAUCCACAUAUUUCAAAGUCUUUUAACUUUUUAUUUUUGUCCUCACUGGCCUCCAAGUUUUCUAGGAUGAUGCAAUGUCCAGCCAUCAACACAUUUGUUAAGGAAUUUUUACUCCCCAAAAGAGCGCCCCCCAUGGCAGGAGAAAAAAGUCCUUUUUUUCUUGUCCCCUAAGGUGAAAAUACACAUUGUUGAGUGUCACGCCUAUACGCUUUGUCAUAUUGACACAAAAUUUGACAAUCACGUGCCUUGCCUGGUAUCAUUUUUUUCAGCACAACCUCACCUGUGCGAAUUUACAGUUAUUUUAUCAUGUUGACAUACUGAAUUUACACAAUGGACCAAAAUUCACACACAAAACAUAAAAUCCGAGUGGAAAAAAGUAACGUUUUUACUGUGAAAACCACAAAUAUGUGUGAUGAACUGUUUUUAAAACUUAAACUUCAAAUAAAAAUUGUAAACUUCAAAACAUAUGCAAAUUUUUAACAAAGAACAUAGUAAUUUACCUCUAUUUACAUCAAAAUGCAGGCAAUGGCCCAGGUGUUCUUUGUAAAAUUAUUUACAAAACACUGUAUAGUCUCACAAAUGUCACUUUUUAUUUAUGCCACUACAAAAAAACAUGAUGUAAAUGAUGCAUGAUGUAAAACAUGAUGUAAAAAACUUGUGUAGAUCCUCCUCUAUGUUAGUCCAUGUGUAAUUUUUCCAUAAUUCUUUGUUUUUUGCAGCAUUUUUGUUAGUGUAACUGCAGAUUGUGCUGACAGUGUCGAUGGCAAAAAAAAAAAAAAAAAAACUGAAAAUGCCUCAACAUGAACCCCUGGUGGUCUCUGAGGGUGAAACCUGCUAACUGCUGCAGCUCUGUCAGCUUCAGUCUCCCAUGCAAAGCUCGGAGCGCAUGUGUGGCUCUGCACCCUUAGCAGCGUUGUUAACUCCUCAGUAAGGAAAGCCUGCUUCAUGUCAGAGUCUCUAAACUCCAGAAGAAGUCGAUAAAAGUCACUUUCUUUCUAAAAAAAAGUCGUUAGGGGGUCUGAAAAGUCAUUGAAUCUAACAACAAAGUCGCUAGGUUUGCAACUACGUGUCCCAGACUGCAUCCCUGCUGAGAGUCCCUCCCUCCCUUCUCAUAUUGCAGGAAGAACGUAAGCGCCCGCCCCUUGUCAAUCAGUCACCAUAUAAUUUUGGAUUGGUUGUUGUGGUGAAGUUUUCCACCAAUAGGAGAGAUGUUGUGGUGUGUUUUUUUUUUCCUUUGGCAAGCCUUUUCCGCCUGUAAGACCUGUCGCUAAUGUCUGCAUGCUAUGUUUUCCUGUCUCAUACAGCGCGAUCGAGCGCCGAACGUGAUCAAAAUAAGCAGAAAACAAGUAUCGCGGACAUAAUUUAUCAUAACUCUGGUUUUAUUUGGCCUAUCAACACAAUUUAAAAACUGGUAUAUAGGUUGAGGUCCUCACUUUUGAGAUAAGUUGAAACGGAGUCAACGAGGCUCCGUCUUGCAGCUACAUCCGGUUAAAUAUGUCAUGUGACUUGAACGCACACACACACACACACAGACACACACACACACGCACACACACACACUCAGAGUCUGGUUUUUAGCACCUGCAAAAACAUGCUAUUUACAUAUUUGACAAGAAUGCAGAGGCUCCUUUUGCCCCUGAAAAAAAUCAAAUUUCAAACACAACUUGACUGGUCAUUUCUCCAAAAGACAACCAUGAAGCUCCAUCCAAACCUGAAGCAGGCAGUUGGUGCAUGUGUACAGUAACCUGAGGGGAGUGAGGUGACUGCUUCUGAGGAGAACAUGAGCAGUGAAGAUUCACCUUAGAGCUAGAACAGAGACGUGCACAUGAUUAUACAGGGGCAGGGGCUCAAGUUUUUUCCAGUUGUUUAUACAAUAUGGAAAUUAAUGUGAAAUUAAAAAACAAAGUAUUAAUAGAAAGGUAAUGACUGUCCUGAGUAGGUGACAGUGAUAUCCAAUAGGCUAGGCACUCAAGAGGCUGGCUGUGGCAAGUGUAAGUGAAAGCAACACGCACUGGCAGGAAGAACAGCAAACGCCGAUGAAGGAAAAGGGUCUUUGCAGUGAUGGGCGUUACCAGAGAGGACGAUGGCCAGAGGACACAAAUGGGACGGGGAGGCAGCGCGUUGGGGGGGGGACGCGACACAGCUCGGGCCCGCCAGUGCCCCAACGGGGUCCUAGUUUGUUAUUAUUAUUAUUAUUAGGGCCCGAGCGUAGCUGCUAAGCAGCUGCGAGAGCCCUCUUGUUCCUGAUGGAUUCUUCUUUCGUUAUUUUUCCUCCGCUUUAAACUGGAAAAUGGCCCACUUCCCACUGGCGAAAACUCAGGAAAUUUGGCAGGACGACCGGGCCUGGUGAAAAAUUCGAUAUUCUGAAGUCGCCCAAACAAAAAAAUGCAAAAUGGCUCCAUAGCGCCCCCUAAGGUGAAAAUUCACAUGACGGCUGUACGCUUUGUCAAAAUGACACAAAAAUUGACACACACAUGUAUCUCAAUAAGAUCUACAAAAAAGUCAGUGCGGCCGUAUCUGUCAAAUGUACGGUUAAUGGGUUAUUUCGCAUUUUUUGCAGAUCUGCACACAUUGGAAUUUCGCUAACUCCUCCGAAGGCUUUCGUUCGACCGGCACCACAUUUGCGCAGGCCAAUCUACCCCCCAUGGCCAUUAAAAGUUGUACAAAUCAUGAUGCUGCAUCCCACGGUUUAGGUUCUAGAGGGCGCCAAAGAUAACCCAAAAAUCCACAGUCUUAAAAGUCUUAUAACUUUUUAUUUUUGUCCUCACUGGCCUCCAAGUUCUCUAGGAUGAUGCAAUGUCCAGCCAUGAACACAUUUGUGAAGGAAUUUUUACUCCCCAAAAGAGCGCCCCCCCAUGGCAGGAGAAAAAAGUCCAUUUUUUCUUGUCCCCUAACAUGAAAAUACACAUUGUUGAGUGUCACGCCUGAACGCUUUGUCAUAUUGACACAAAAUUUGACAAUCACAUGUAUCUCAAUAAGAUCUACGAAAAAGUCAAAGAGCGCGUAUCUGUAUAAUGUACGGUAAAAGGGCUAUUUUGCAUUUUUUGGCGAUUCGCACACAUUGGAAUUUCGCUAAGUCCUCCGAAGGCUUUCGUUCGACCGGCACCACAUUUGCGCAGGCCAAUCUACCCCCCAUGGCCAUUAAAAGUUGUACAAAUCAUGACGCUGCACCCCACGGUUUACGUUCUAGGGGGCGCCAAAGAUAACCCAAAAAUCCACAUUCUUAAAAGUCUUAUAACUUUUUACUUUUGUCCUCACUGGCCUCCAAGUUUUCUAGGAUGAUGCAAUGUCCAGCCAUCAACACAUUUGUGAAGGAAUUUUUACUCCCCAAAAGAGCGCCCCCCAAUGGCAGGAGAAAAAGGUCCAUUUUUUCUUGUCUCCUAAGGUGAAAAUACACAUUGUCGAGUGUCACGCCUGUAUGCUUUGUCAUAUUGACACAAAAUUUAACAAUCACGUGAAUCUCAAUAAGAUCUACGAAAAAGUCAAAGGGCAUGUAUCUGUCAAAUGUACGGUUAAAGGGCUAUUUUGCAUUUUUUGCCGAUCAGCACACAUUGGAAUGUGGCUAACUCCUCCUAAAGCUUUCGUCCCACUGACACCACAUUUGCUCAGGCAAAUCUACACCCCAUGGCCAUUCAAAGUUGUACAAAUCAUGACACUGCACCCCACGGUUUACGUUCUAGGGGGCGCCAAAGAUAACCCAAAAAUCCACAUUCUUAAAAGUCUUAUAACUUUUUAUUUUUGUCCUCACUGGCCUCCAAGUUUUCUAGGAUGAUGCUAUGUCCAGCCAUCAACACAUGUGUGAAGGAAUUUUUACUCCCCAAAAGAGCGCCCCCCCAUGGCAGGAGAAAAAAGUCAAGAUUUUCUUGUCCCCUAACAUGAAAAUACACAUUGUUGAGUGUCACGCCUAAACGCUUUGUCAUAUUGACACAAAAAUUGACACACACGUGUAUCUCAAUAAGAUCUACGAAAAAGUCAAAGAGCGCGUAUCUGUAUAAUGUACGGUUAAAGGUUUAUUAGGGCCCGAGCCAGCUGCAGAGCAGCCGGGCGUAGAGCCCUAUUAUUCCUGUAUAGGUUUUUCUUUCUUCUUUCUUUCUUUCUUUCUUUCUUUCUUCUUAUUUUUCCUCCCCUUUGAAGGGGAAAAUGGCCCACUUCCCAUUGGCGAAAACUCAGGAAAUUUGGCAGGACGACCGGGCCUGGUGAAAAAUUCGAUAUUCUGAAGUUGCCCAAACAAUAAAAUGCAAAAUGGCUCCAUAGCGCCCCCUAAGGUGAAAAUUCACACUAUUGACUGUCACGCCUGUCCGCUUUGUCAUAUUGACACAAAAAUUGACACACACGUGUAUCUCAUAACGGUCUACCAAAAAGUCAGCGCGGACGCAUCUGUGAAAUGUACGGUUAGAGGGUUAUUUCGCAUUUUUUGCAGAUCUGCACACAUUGGAAUUUCGCUAACUCCUCCGAAGGCAUUCGUUCCACCGGCACCACAUUUGCUCAGGCCAAUCUACACCCCAUGGCCAUUAAAAGUUGUACAAAUCAUGACGCUGCACCCCACGGUUUAGGUUCUAGGGGGCGCCAAAGAUAACCCAAAAAUCCACAGUCUUAAAAGUCUUAUAACUUUUUAUUUUUGUCCUCACUGGCCUCCAAGUUCUCUAGGAUGAUGCAAUGUCCAGCCAUCAACACAUUUGUGAAGGAAUUUUUACUCCCCAAAAGAGCGCCCCCCCAUGGCAGGAGAAAAAAGUCCAUUUUUUCUUGUCCCCUAAGGUGAAAAUACACAUUGUAGAGUGUCACGCCUGUACGCUUUGUCAAAAUGACACAAAAUUUGACAUACACGUGUAUUUCAAUAAGAUCUUCGAAAAAGUCAAUGGCCACGUAUAUGUAAAAUGUACAGUUAAAAGGUUAUUUCACAUUUUUUGCCGAUCCGCACACAUUGGAAUGUGGCUAACUCCUCCGAAGGCUUUCGUCCCACUGACACCAAAUUUGCUCAGGCCAAUCUACACCCCAUGGCCAUUCAAAGUUGUAAAAAUCAUGACGCUGCACCCCACGGUUUACGUUCUAGGGGGCGCCAAAGAUGACCCAAAUAUCCACAUUCUUAAAAGAAUCCACAUCCCCCCCCAUCCCCCAUCCCCCAUGGCAGGAGAAACAGUCAAGUUUUUCCUUCCCAUCACUCAAUGGCUCAAUCGCAUCACUCUCCCGGCAACACCGUAACGAGGAGCAACUUGCCGUUUGGAUAUAUCCUAGCUGUGUUUGUGCCCUCACUCAUGGUCCAGACUUUUUUCAAAUAGGACAUGUAGUUUGUCUGCAGCGAGUGUUUUGGUAGAAACUGCGCCUCCCAUUCAUUAUAAUGGGAAAUGACCACAGACAAGUGCGCACACCAUCUUUGGACCUUGAGUGUGACGCGAUCGGGAGGGGGAGGCGGUCGCGCUGGGGGCGGCGCAACGCGGCUCGGGCCCGACAGUGCCCCACCGGGGUCCUAGUUAGGGCCCGAGCGUAGCUGCUAAGCAGCUGCGAGAGCCCUCUUGUUCCUGCAUGUUUCCUUCUUUCGUUAUUAUUUUUCCUCCGCUUUAAACUGGAAAAUGGCCCACUUCCCACUGGCGAAAACUCAGGAAAUUUGGCAGGACGACCGGGCCUGGUGAAAAAUUCGAUAUUCUGAAGUCGCCCAAACAAUAAAAUGCAAAAUGGCUCCAUAGCGCCCCCUAAGGUGAAAAUUCACAUGACGGCUGUACGCUUUGUCAUAUUGACACAAAAAUUGACACACACAUGUAUCUCAAUAAGAUCUACAAAAAAGUCAGCACGGGCGUAUCUGUCAAAUGUACGGUUAAUGGGUUAUUUUGCAUUUUUUGCAGAUCUGCACACAUUGGAAUUUCGCUAACUCCUCCGAAGGCUUUCGUUCGACCGGCACCACAUUUGCGCAGGCCAAUCUACCCCCCAUGGCCAUUAAAAGUUGUACAAAUCAUGACGCUGCACCCCACGGUUUACGUUCUAGGGGGCGCCAAAAAUAACCCAAAAUCCACAUUCUUAAAAGUCUUAUAACUUUUUAUUUUUGUCCUCACUGCCCUCCAAGUUUUCUAGGAUGAUGCAAUGUCCAGCCAUAAACACAUUUGUGAAGGAAUUUUUACUCCCCAAAAGAGCGCCCCCCCAUGGCAGGAGAAAAAAGUCCUUUUUUUCUUGUCCCCUUACAUGAAAAUACACAUUGUUGAGUGUCACGCCUGAACGCUUUGUCAUAUUGACACAAAAAUUGACAAUCAUGUGUAUCUCAAUUAGAUCUACGAAAAAGUCAAAAAGCGCGUAUCUGUAUAAUGUACGGUUAAAGGGCUAUUUCGCAUUUUUUGCCGAUUCGCACACAUUGGAAUGUGGCUAACUCCUCCUAAGGCUUUCGUCCCACUGACACCAAAUUUGCUCAGUCCAAUCUACACCCCAUGGCCAUUCAAAGUUGUAAAAAUCAUGACGCUGCACCCCACGGUUUACGUUCUAGGGGGCGCCAAAGAUGACCCAAAAAUCCACAUUCUUAAAAGUCAUUUUGGCCACUGCAGGAGUACAGAGUACUGCAGUUCUAGGGGGCGCCAAAGAUGACCCAAAAAUCCACAUUCUUAAAAGUCUUUUUGGCCACUGCAGGAGUACAGAGUACUGCAGGAUACACACACAUAUACACACACACACACACACACACACACACACACACUCAGAGUCUGUUUUUUAGCACCUGCAAAAACAUGCUGUUUACAUAUUUGACAAGAAUGCAGAGGCUUCCUUUUGCCCCUGAAAAAAAUCAGAUUUCAAACACAACUUGACUGUUCAUUUCUCCAAAAGACAACCAUGAAGCUCCAUCCAAACCUGAAGCAGAUAGUUGGUGCAUGUGUACAGUAACCUGAGGGGAGUGAGGUGACUAUUUCUGAGGAGAACAUGAGCAGUGAAGAUUCACCUUGGAGCUAGAACAGGGACGUGCACAUGAUUAUACAGGGGCAGGGGCUCAAGUUUUUUCCAGUCAUUUAUACAAUAUGGAAAUUAAUGUGAAAUUAAACCACAAAUAUGUGUGAUGAACUGUUUUUAAAACUUAAACUUCAAAUAAAAAUUGUAAACUUCAAAACAUAUGCAAAUUUUUAACAAAGAACAUAGUAAUUUACCUCUAUUUACAUCAAAAUGCAGGCAAUGGCCCAGGCGUUCUUUGUAAAAUUAUUUACAAAACACUGUAUAGUCUCACAAAUGUCACUUUUUAUUUAUGCCACUACAAAAAAACAUGAUGUAAAUGAUGCAUGAUGUAAAACAUGAUGUAAAAAACUUGUGUAGAUCCUCCUCUAUGUCAGUCCAUGUGUAAUUUUUCCAUAAUUCUUUGUUUUUUGCAGCAUUUUUGUUAGUGUAACUGCAGAUUGUGCUGACAGUGUCUAUGGCACAAAAAAAAAAAAAAAUUUAAAAUGCCUCAACAUGAACCCCUGGUGGUCUCUGAGGGUGAAACCUGCUAACUGCUGCAGCUCUGUCAGCUUCAGUCUCCCAUGCAGAGCUCUGAGCGCAUGUGUGGCUCUGCACCCUUAGCAGCGUUGCUAACUCCUCAGUAAGGAAAGCCUGCUUCAUGUCAGAGUCUCUAAACUCCAGAAGAAGUCGAUAAAAGUCCCUUUCUUUCUAAAAAAAGUCGUUAGGGGGUCUGAAAAGUCAUUGAAUCUAACAACAAAGUCGCUAGGUUUGCAACUACGUGUCCCAGACUGCAUCCCUGCUGAGAGUCCCUCCCUCCCUUCUCAUGUUGCAGGAAGAACGUAAGCGCCCGCCCCUUGUCAAUCAGUCACCAUAUAAUUUUGGAUUGGUUGUUGUGGUGAAGUUUUCCACCAAUAGGAGAGAUGUUGUGGUGUGUUUUUUUUUUCUUUUGGCAAGCCUUUUCCGCCUGUAAGACCUGUCGCUAAUGUCUGCAUGCUAUGUUUUCCUGUCUCAUACAGCGCGAUCGAGCGCCGAACGUGAUCAAAAUAAGCAGAAAAAAAGUAUCGCGGACAUAAUUUAUCAUAACUCUGGUUUUAUUUGGCCUAUCAACACAAUUUAAAAACUGGUAUAUAGGUUGAGGUCCUCACUUUUGAGAUAAGUUGAAACGGAGAGUCAACGAGGCUCCGUCUUGCAGCUACAUCCGGUUAAAUAUGUCAUGUGACUUGAACGCACACACAGACACACACACACGCACACACACACACACACACACACACACACACACACACACUCAGAGUCUGGUUUUUAGCACCUGCAAAAACAUGCUAUUUACAUAUUUGACAAGAAUGCAGAGGCUCCUUUUGCCCCUGAAAAAAAUCAAAUUUCAAACACAACUUGACUGGUCAUUUCUCCAAAAGACAACCAUGAAGCUCCAUCCAAACCUGAAGCAGGCAGUUGGUGCAUGUGUACAGUAACCUGAGGGGAGUGAGGUGAGUGCUUCUGAGGAGAACAUGAGCAGUGAAGAUUCACCUUGGAGCUAGAACAGAGACAUGCACAUGAUUAUACAGGGGCAGGGGCUCAAGUUUUUUCCAGUCGUUUAUACAAUAUGGAAAUUAAUGUGAAAUUAAAACACAAAGUAUUAAUAGAAAGGUAAUGACUGUCCUGUGUAGGUGACAGUGAUAUCCAAUAGGCUAGGCACUCACGAGGCUGGCUGUGGCAAGUGUAAGUGAAAGCAACACGCACUGGCAGGAAGAACAGCAAACGCCGAUGAAGGAAAAGGGUCUUUGCAGUGAUGGGCGUUACCAGAGAGGGCGAUGGCCAGAGGACACAAAUGGGACGGGAAGGCAGCACGUUGGGGGGGGGGGGGACGCGACACAGCUCGGGCCCGCCAGUGCCCCAACGGGGUCCUAAUUAGGGCCCGAGCGUAGCUGCUAAGCAGCUGCGAGAGCCCUCUUGUUCCUGAUGGAUUCUUCUUUCGUUAUUUUUCCUCCGCUUUAAACUGGAAAAUGGCCCACUUCCCACUGGCGAAAACUCAGGAAAUUUGGCAGGAUGACCGGGCCUGGUGAAAAAUUUGAUAUUCUGAAGUUGUCCAAACAAAAAAAUGAAAAAUGGCUCCAUAGCGCCCCCUAUGGUGAAAACUCACCUGAUGCCUGUACGCUUUGUCAAAAUGACACAAAAUUUGACACACAUGUGUAUCUCAAUAAGAUCUACGAAAAAGUCAGUGUGGGCGUAUCUGUCAAAUGUACGGUUAAAGGGCUAUUUCGCUUUUUUUGCCGAUCCGCACACAUUGGAAUUUCGCUAACUCCUCCAAAGGCUUUCGUUCCACCGGCACCAAAUUUGCUCAGGCCAAUCUACACCCCAUGGCCAUUAAAAGUUGUACAAAUCAUGACGCUGCACCCCACGGUUUAGGUUCUAGGCGGCGCCAAAGAUAACCCAAAAAUCCACAUUCUUAAAAGUCUUAUAACUUUUUAUUUUUGUCCUCACUGGCCUCCAAGGUUUCUAGGAUGAUGCAAUGUCCAGCCAUAAACACAUUUGUGAAGGAAUUUUUACUCCCCAAAAGAGCGCCCCCCCAUGGCAGGAGAAAAAAGUCCAUUUUUUCUUGUCUCCUAAGGUAAAAAUACACAUUGUUGAGUGUCACGCCUAUACACUUUGUCAUAUUGACACACAAUUUGACAAUCACGUGUAUCUCAAUAAGAUCUACAAAAAAGUCAAUAGGCACGUAUCUGUCAAAUGUACGGUUAAAGGGCUAUUUUGCAUUUUUUGCCGAUUCGCACACAUUGGAAUGUGGCUAUCUCCUCCUAAGGCUUUCGUCCCACUGAUACCAAAUUUGCUCAGGGCAAUCUACACCCCAUGCCCAUUCAAAGUUGUAAAAAUCAUGACGCUGCACCCCACGGUUUACGUUCUAGGGGGCGCCAAAGAUGACCCAAAAAUCCACAUUCUUAAAAGUCUUUUUGGUCACUGCAGGAGUACAGAGUACUGCAAGAUACACACACAUACACACACACACACACACACACACACACACACACACACACACACACACACACACACACUCAGAGUCUGUUUUUUAGCACCUGCAAAAACAUGCUGUUUACAUAUUUGACAAGAAUGCAGAGGCUUCCUUUUGCCCCUGAAAAAAAUCAAAUUUCAAACACAACUUGACUGUUCAUUUCUCCAAAUGACAACCAUGAAGCUCCAUCCAAACCUGAAGCAGGCAGUUGGUGCAUGUGUACAGUAACCUGAGGGGAGUGAGGUGACUGCUUCUGAGGAGAACAUGAGCAGUGAAGAUUCACCUUGGAGCGAGAACAGGGACGUGCACAUGAUUAUACAGGGGCAGGGGCUCAAGUUUUUUCCAGUCGUUUAUACAAUAUGGAAAUUAAUGUGAAAUUAAAAAACAAAGUAUUAAUAGAAAGGUAAUGACUGUCCUGUGUAGGUGACAGUAAUAUCCAAUAGGCUAGGCACUCACGAGGCUGGCUGUGGCAAGUGUAAGUGAAAGCAACACGCACUGGCAGGAAGAACAGCAAACGCCGAUGAAGGAAAAGGGUCUUUGCAGUGAUGGGCGUUACCAGAGAGGACGAUGGCCAGAGGACGCGAAUGGGACGGGGAGGCAGCGCGUUGGGGGGGGGGCGCGACACAGCUCGGGCCCGCCAGUGCCCCAACGGGGCCCUAGUUAGGGCCCGAGCGUAGCUGCUAAGCAGCUGCGAGAGCCCUAUUAUUCCCCAAGUGGUUUUUCUUUGUUUCUUUCUUUCUUCUUUUUCCUCCCCUUUGAACUGGAAAAUGGCCCACUUCCCACUGGCGAAAACUCAUGAAAUUUGGCAGGAUGACCGGGCCUGGUGAAAAAUUUGAUAUUCCGAAGUCGCCCAAACAAGAAAAUGCAAAAUGGCUCCAUAGCGCCCCCUAAGGUGAAAAUUCACACUAUUGACUGUCACGCCUGUACGCUUUGUCAAAAUGACACAAAAAUUGACACACAUAUGUAUCUCAAUAAGAUCUACAAAAAAGUCAGUGCGGGCGUAUCUGUCAAAUGUACGGUUAAAGGGUUAUUCCGCAUUUUUUGCUGAUCCGCACACAUUGGAAUUUCGCUAACUCCUCCUAAGGCUGGCGUUCCACCGGCACCACAUUUGCUCAGGCCAAUCUACACCCCAUGGCCAUUAAAAGUUAUUCAAAUCAUGACGCUGCACCCCACGGUUUAGGUUCUAGGGGGCGCCAAAGAUAACCCUAAAAUCCACAUAUUUAAAAGUCUUAUAACUUUUUAUUUUUGCCCUCACUGGCCUCCAAGUUUUCUAGGAUGAUGCAAUGUCCAGCCAUCAACACAUUUGUGAAGGAAUUUUUACUCCCCAAAAGAGCGCCCCCCCAUGGCCGGAGAAAAAAGUCAAUUUUUUCUUGUCCCCUAAGGUGAAAAUACACAUUGUUGAGUGUCACGCCUUUACGCUUUGUCAUAUUGACACAAAAUUUGACACACACAUGUAUCUCAAUAAGAUCUACGAAAAAGUCAAUGCGCGCAUAUCUGUCAAAUGUACGGUUAAAGGGUUAUUCCGCAUUUUUUGCUGAUCCGCACACAUUGGAAUUUCGCUAACUCCUCCUAAGGCUGGCGUUCCACCGGCACCACAUUUGCUCAGGCCAAUCUACACCCCAUGGCCAUUAAAAGUUAUUCAAAUCAUGACGCUGCACCCCACGGUUUAGGUUCUAGGGGGCGCCAAAGAUAACCCUAAAAUCCACAUAUUUCAAAGUCUUAUAACUUUUUAUUUUUGUCCUCACUGGCCUCCAAGUUUUCUAGGAUGAUGCAAUGUCCAGCCAUCAACACAUUUGUGAAGGAAUUUUUACUCCCCAAAAGAGCGCCCCCCCAUGGCAGGAGAAAAAAGUCAAUUUUUUCUUGUCCCGUAAGGUGAAAAUUCACAUUGUUGAGUGUCACGCCUUUACGCUUUGUCAUAUUGACACAAAAUUUGACACACACAUGUAUCUCAAUAAGAUCUACGAAAAAGUCAAUGCGCGCAUAUCUGUCAAAUGUACGGUUAAAGGGUUAUUCCGCAUUUUUUGCUGAUCCGCACACAUUGGAAUUUCGCUAACUCCUCCUAAGGCUGGCGUUCCACCGGCACCACAUUUGCUCAGGCCAAUCUACACCCCAUGGCCAUUAAAAGUUAUUCAAAUCAUGACGCUGCACCCCACGGUUUAGGUUCUAGGGGGCGCCAAAGAUAACCCUAAAAUCCACAUAUUUCAAAGUCUUAUAACUUUUUAUUUUUGUCCUCACUGGCCUCCAAGUUUUCUAGGAUGAUGCAAUGUCCAGCCAUCAACACAUUUGUGAAGGAAUUUUUACUCCCCAAAAGAGCGCCCCCCCAUGGCAGGAGAAAAAAGUCAAUUUUUUCUUGUCCCGUAAGGUGAAAAUUCAUAUUGUUGAGUGUGACACCUGUACGCUUUGUCAUAUUGACACAAAAUUUGACAAUCACGUGUAUCUCAAUAAGAUCUACGAAAAAGUCAAUGGGUGCGUAUCUGUCAAAUGUACGGUUAGAGGGCUAUUUUGCAUUUUUUGCCGAUUCGCACACAUUGGAAUGUGGCUAACUCCUCCUAAGGCUUUCGUCCCACUGAAACCAAAUUUGCUCAGGCCAAUCUACACCCCAUGGCCAUUCAAAGUUGUAAAAAUCAUGACGCUGCACCCCACGGUUUACGUUCUAGGGGGCGCCAAAGAUGACCAAAAAAUCCACAUUCUUAAAAGAAUCCACAUUCUCCCCCCCCAUGGUAGGAGAAAAAGUCAAGUUUUUCCUGCCCAUCGCUCAAUGGCUCAAUCGCAUCGCUCUCCAGGCAACACCGUAACGAGGAGCAACCUGCCAUUUGGAUAUAUCCCAGCUGUGUUUGUGCCCUCACUCAUGGUCCAGACUUUUUUCAAAUAGGACAUGAAGUUUGUCUGCAGCGAGUGUUUUGGUAGAAACUGCGCCUCCCAUUCAUUAUAAUGCGAAAUGACCACAGACAAGUGCGCACACCAUCUUUGGACCUUGAGUGUGACGCGAUCGGGAGGGGGAGGCGGUCACGCUGGGGGCGGCACGACGUGGCUCGGGCCCGACAGUGCCCCACCGGGGCCCUAGUUAUUAUUUUUCCUCCCCUUUGAACUGGAAAAUGGCCCACUUCCCACUGGCGAAAACUCAUGAAAUUUGGCAGGACGACCGGGCCUGGUGAAAAAUUUGAUAUUCCGAAGUCGCCCAAACAAGAAAAUGCAAAAUGGCUCCAUAGCGCCCCCUAAGGUGAAAAUUCACACUAUUGACUGUCACGCGUGUACGCUUUGUCAAAAUGACACAAAAAUUGACACACACAUGUAUCUCAAUAAGAUCUACAAAAAAGUCAGUGCGGGCGUAUCUGUCAAAUGUACGGUUAAAGGGUUAUUGCGCAUUUUUUGCCGAUCCGCACACAUUGGAAUUUCGCUAACUCCUCCGAAGGCUUUCGUUCCACCGGCACCACAUUUGCUCAGGCCAAUCUACACCCCAUGGCCAUUAAAAGUUAUUCAAAUCAUGACGCUGCACCCCACGGUUUAGGUUCUAGGGGGCGCCAAAGAUAACCCUAAGAUCCACAUAUUUAAAAGUCUUAUAACUUUUUAUUUUUGCCCUCACUGGCCUCCAAGUUUUCUAGGAUGAUGCAAUGUCCAGCCAUCAACACAUUUGUGAAGGAAUUUUUACUCCCCAAAAGAGCGCCCCCCCAUGGCAGGAGAAAAAAGUCCAUUUUUUCUUGUCCCCUAAGGUGAAAAUACACAUUGUUGAGUGUAACACCUGUACGCUUUGGCAAAAUGACACAAAAAUGACACAAAAAUUGACACACACAUGUAUCUCAAUAAGAUCUACGAAAAAGUCAAUGCGCGCGUAUCUGUCAAAUGUACGGUUAAAGGGUUAUUCCGCAUUUUUUGCCGAUCCGCACACAUUGGAAUUUCGCUAACUCCUCCGAAGGCUUUCGUUCCACCGGCACCACAUUUGCUCAGGCCAAUCUACACCCCAUGGCCAUUAAAAGUUAUUCAAAUCAUGACGCUGCACCCCACGGUUUAGGUUCUAGGGGGCGCCAAAGAUAACCCUAAAAUCCACAUUUUUCAAAGUCUUAUAACUUUUUAUUUUUGUCCUCACUGGCCUCCAAGUUUUCUAGGAUGAUGCAAUGUCCAGCCAUCAACACAUUUGUGAAGGAAUUUUUACUCCCCAAAAGAGCGCCCCCCCAUGGCAGGAGAAAAAAGUCAAUUUUUUCUUGUCCCCUAAGGUGGAAAUUCACACUAUUGACUGUCACGCCUGUACGCUUUAUCAUAUUGACACAAAAAUUGACACACAUAUGUAUCUCAAUGAGAUCUACAAAAAAGUCAAUGCGCGCGUAUCUGUCAAAUGUACGGUUAAAGGGCUAUUUUGCAUUUUUUGCCGAUUCGCACACAUUGGAAUGUGGCUAACUCCUCCUAAGGCUUUCGUCCCACUGACACCAAAUUUGCUCAGGCCAAUCUACACCCCAUGGCCAUUCAAAGUUGUAAAAAUCAUGACGCUGCACCCCACGGUUUACGUUCUAGGGGGCGCCAAAGAUGACCCAAAAAUCCACAUUCUUAAAGGAAUCCACAUCCCCCCCCCCCCCCCCAAGGCAGGAGAAAAAGUCAAGUUAACCCUGCCCAUCGCUCAAUGGCUCAAUCGCAUCGCUCUCCAGGCAACACCGUAAGGAGGAGCAACCUGCCAUUUGGAUAUAUCCCAGCUGUGUUUGUGCCCUCACUCAUGGUCCAGACUUUUUUCAAAUAGGACAUGAAGUUUGUCUGCAGCGAGUGUUUUGGUAGAAACUGCGCCUCCCAUUCAUUAUAAUGCGAAAUGACCACAGACAAGUGCGCACACCAUCUUUGGACCUUGAGUGUGACGCGAUCGGGAGGGGGAGGCGGUCGUGUGGGGGCGGCGCGACGCGGCUCGGGCCCGACAGUGCCCCAACGGGGUCCUAGUUAGGGCCCGAGCGUAGCUGCUAAGCAGCUGCGAGAGCCCUCUUGUUCCUGCAUGUUUCCUUCUUUUGUUAUUAGGGCCCGAGCGUAGCUGCUAAGCAGCUGCGAGAGCCCUCUUGUUCCUGAUGGAUUCUUCUUUCGUUAUUUUUCCUCCGCUUUAAACUGGAAAAUGGCCCACUUCCCACUGGCGAAAACUCAGGAAAUUUGGCAGGACGACCGGGCCUGGUGAAAAAUUCGAUAUUCUGAAGUCGCCCAAACAAUAAAAUGCAAAAUGGCUCCAUAGCGCCCCCUAAGGCGAAAAUUCACACUAUUGACUGUCACGCCUGUACGCUUUGUCAUAUUGACACAAAAACUGACACACACGUGUAUCUCAAUACGGUCUAUGAAAAAGUCAGCGCGGGCGCAUCUGUGAAAUGUACGGUUAGAGGGUUAUUUCGCAUUUUUUGCCGAUCUGCACACAUUGGAAUUUCGCUAACUCCUCCGAAGGCAUUCGUUCCACCGGCACCACAUUUGCUCAGGCCAAUCUACACCCCAUGGCCAUUAAAAGUUGUACAAAUCAUGACGCUGCACCCCACAGUUUACGUUCUAGGGGGCGCCAAAGAUAACCCAAAAAUCCACAGUCUUAAAAGUCUUAUAACUUUUUAUUUUUGUCCUCACUGGCCUCCAAGUUCUCUAGGAUGAUGCAAUGUCCAGCCAUCAACACAUUUGUGAAGGAAUUUUUACUCCCCAAAAGAGCGCCCCCACAUGGCAGGAGAAAAAAGUCCAUUUUUUCUUGUCCCCUAAGGUGAAAAUACACAUUGUUGAGUGUCACGCCUAUACACUUUGUCAUAUUGACCCAAAAUUUGACAAUCACGUGUAUCUCAAUAAGAUCUACGAAAAAGUCAAUGGGCACGAUCUGUAAAAUGUACGGUUAAAGGGUUAUUUCGCAUUUUUUCCCGAUCCGCACACAUUGGAAUUUCGCUAACUCCUCCUAAGGCUUUAGUUCCACCGCCACCAAAUUUGCUCAGGCCAAUCUACACCCCAUGGCCAUUAAAAGUUGUACAAAUCAUGACGCUGCACUCCAGAGUUUAGGUUCUAGGGGGCGCCAAAGAUAACCCAAAAAUCCACAGUCUUAAAAGUCUUAUAACUUUUUAUUUUUGUCCUCACUGGCCUCCAAGUUUUCUAGGAUGAUGCAAUGUCCAGCCAUCAACACAUUUGCAAAGGAAUUUUUACUCCCGAAAGAGCGCCCCCCCAUGGCAGGAGAAAAAAGUCCAUUUUUUCUUGUCCCCUAAGGUGAAAUAACACAUUGUUGACUGUCACGCCUAUGCGCUUUGUCAAAAUGACACAAAAUUUGACACACACGUGUAUCUCAAUAAGAUCUACGAAAAAGUCAAUGGGCACGUAUCUGUAAAAUGUACGGUUAAAGGGCUAUUUCGCAUUUUUUGCCGAUUCGCACACAUUGGAAUGUGGCUAACUCCUCCUAAGGCUUUCUUCCCACCAACACCAAAUUUGCUCAAGCCGAUCUACAUCCCAUGGCCAUUCAAAGUUGUAAAAAUCAUGCCGCUGCACCCCAUGGUUUACGUUCUAGGGGGCGCCAAAGAUGACCCAAAUAUCCACAUUCUUAAAAGAAUCCACACCCCCCCCCACCAAGGCAGGAGAAAAAGUCCAGUUAACCCUGCCCAUCGCUCAAUGGCUCAAUCGCAUCGCUCUCCUGGCAACACCGUAAGGAGGAGCAACUUGCCAUUUGGAUAUAUCCUAGCUGUGUUUGUGCCCUCACUCAUGGUCCAGACUUUUUUCAAAUAGGACAUGUAGUUUGUCUGCAGCGACCGUUUUGGUAGAAACUGCGCCUCCCAUUCAUUAUAAUGGGAAAUGACCACAGACAAGUGCGGACACCAUCUUUGGACCUUGAGUGUGAUGCGAUCGGGAGGGGGAGGCGGUCGCGCUGGGGGCGGCGCGACGCGGCUCGGGCCCGACAGUGCCCCACCGGGGCCCUAGUUAGGGCCCGAGCGUAGCUGCUAAGCAGCUGCGAGAGCCCUCUUGUUAGGGCCCGAGCGUAGCUGCUAAGCAGCUGCGAGAGCCCUCUUGUUCCUGUAGUUUCCUUCUUUUGUUAUUAUUAGGGCCCGAGCGUAGCUGCUAAGCAGCUGCGAGAGCCCUCUUGUUCCUGCAUGUUUCCUUCUUUUGUUAUUAUUAUUUUUCCUCCCCUUUGAACUGGAAAAUGGCCCACUUCCCACUGGCGAAAACUCAUGAAAUUUGGCAGGACGACCGGGCCUGGUGAAAAAUUUGAUAUUCCGAAGUCGCCCAAACAAGAAAAUGCAAAAUGGCUCCAUAGCGCCCCCUAAGGUGAAAAUUCACACUAUUGACUGUCACGCGUGUACGCUUUGUCAAAAUGACACAAAAAUUGACACACACAUGUAUCUCAAUAAGAUCUACAAAAAAGUCAGUGCGGGCGUAUCUGUCAAAUGUAUGGUUAAAGGGUUAUUUCGCAUUUUUUGCCGAUCCGCACACAUUGGAAUUUCGCUAACUCCUCCGAAGGCUUUCGUUCCACCGGCACCACAUUUGCUCAGGCCAAUCUACACCCCAUGGCCAUUAAAAGUUAUUCAAAUCAUGACGCUGCACCCCACGGUUUAGGUUCUAGGGGGCGCCAAAGAUAACCCUAAGAUCCACAUAUUUAAAAGUCUUAUAACUUUUUAUUUUUGCCCUCACUGGCCUCCAAGUUUUCUAGGAUGAUGCAAUGUCCAGCCAUCAACACAUUUGUGAAGGAAUUUUUACUCCCCAAAAGAGCGCCCCCCCAUGGCAGGAGAAAAAAGUCCAUUUUUUCUUGUCCCCUAAGGUGAAAAUACACAUUGUUGAGUGUAACACCUGUAUGCUUUGGCAAAAUGACACAAAAAUUGACACACACAUGUAUCUCAAUAAGAUCUACGAAAAAGUCAAUGCGUGCGUAUCUGUCAAAUGUACGGUUAAAGGGUUAUUCUGCAUUUUUUGCCGAUCCGCACACAUUGGAAUUUCGCUAACUCCUCCGAAGGCUUUCGUUCCACCGGCACCACAUUUGCUCAGGCCAAUCUACACCCCAUGGCCAUUAAAAGUUAUUCAAAUCAUGACGCUGCACCCCAAGGUUUAGGUUCUAGGGGGCGCCAAAGAUAACACUAAAAUCCACAUAUUUAAAAGUCUUAUAACUUUUUAUUUUUGUCCUCACUGGCCUCCAAGUUUUCUAGGAUGAUGCAAUGUCCAGCCAUCAACACAUUUGUGAAGGAAUUUUUACUCGCCAAAAGAGCGCCCCCCCAUGGCAGGAGAAAAAAGUCCAUUUUUUCUUGUCCACUAAGGUGAAAAUACACAUUGUUGAGUGCUACGCCUGUAUGUUUUGUCGUAUUGACACAAAAUUUUACAUACACGUGUAUUUCAAUAAGAUCUUCGAAAAAGUCAAUGGCCACGUAUCUGUAAAAUGUACGGUUAAAGGGUUAUUUCGCAUUUUUUGCAGAUUCGCACACAUUGGAAUUUCGCUAAAUCCUCCGAAGGCUUUCGUUCCACCGGCACCACAUUUGCUCAGGCCAAUCUACACCCCAUGGCCAUUAAAAGUUAUUCAAAUCAUGACGCUGCACCCCAAGGUUUAGGUUCUAGGGGGCGCCAAAGAUAACACUAAAAUCCACAUAUUUAAAAGUCUUAUAACUUUUUAUUUUUGUCCUCACUGGCCUCCAUGUUUUCUAGGAUGAUGCAAUGUCCAGCCAUCAACACAUUUGUGAAGGAGUUUUUUCUCGUUAAAAGAGCACCCCCCCAUGGCAGGAGAAUAAAGUCAAGUUUUUCCUGUUCAUCAUUCAAUGGCUCAAACGCACUGCUCUCUCGGCAAAAGCGAAAGGAGGAGCAACUUGCCAUUUGGAUAUAUCUUAGCUGUGUUUGUGCCCUCACUCAUGGUCCAGACUUUUUUCAAAUAGGACAUGGAGUUUUUCUGCAGCGAGCGUUUUGGUAGAAACUGCGCCUCCCGUUCAUUAUAAUGGUAAAUGACCACAAACAAGUGCGCAUACCAUCUUUGGACCUUCAGUGUGACGCGAUCGGGUGGGGGAGGCGGUCGCGCUGAGGGCGGCGUGACAUGGCUCGGGCCCUCCAGUGCCCCAACGGGGCCCUAGUUAUUAUUUUUCCUCCCCUUUAAACUGGAAAAUGGCCCACUUC